UGGACUAAUAAUGAGACUGUGCCAUAAACCAAGAGUUAUGAUUAGUCUAAUUCUGAGCAUGUGAGCUUCAUU
rnacentral:snoRNA from 14 species